UUCACGAUGACCUGGAGAUGAGACGAGGGAGCAAACUGAGCGGUGCGGAAAACGACCACAACCUCCGUACAUCUCCAAGGCAGUGUUUAUGUUGCGUGGGCUGAUGCCAAGGUUUUCAGCUGGGACGAAGGGAAAGGAGCGGUAAACACAGCAAGCUCAGCGUAUAGCGGCCUUAUGAAGGGACGGUGAGUGUACUAGUAGGAAAUGUAUUCAUAUUUGUUCCAGAAUUUCUGUAUCGAGUGCUAAUCUGUUUAUUUUCUUUUGUAGCAAAAUGAGAUUUUU